rnacentral:rRNA from 1 species
UACGGAGGGUGCAAACGUUGCUCGGAAUCAUUGGGCGUAAAGCGCACGUAGGCGGCCUGUUAAGUCGGAUGUGAAAGCCCCGGGCUCAACCCGGGAAGUGCAUUCGAAACUGGCGGGCUUGAAUAUGGAAGAGGGUCGCGGAAUUCACGGUGUAGCAGUGAAAUGCGUAGAUAUCGUGAGGAACACCAGAGGCGAAGGCGGUUACCUGGACAGUUACUGACGCUCAGGCACGAAAGCAUGGGGAGCAAAAGGG